UAAUAGUUAUAUUCUUUAAACCUAAAGAAUUUGGCGGUAAUUUAGUCUAUUCAGAGGAACCUGUCCUAUUAUCGAUAGUCCUCGUUUUAUCUUUCUUUAUUUAGUAAUUACAGUAUGUAUACCGCCGUUAUAAGUUUAUUUUAUUAGAAUUUUAAUUUACUUAAUAUUUAAUAUUAUAUUAUUUCAGGUCAAGGUGCAGUUUAUAUUAAAGUUGAGAUGGGUUACAUUAUUAUUUAAUAAACGGAUUUAUUUUUUAAAAUUUUAUUGAAGGUGGAUUUGAAGGUAAUAUUUUUUAUAGUGAUUAUUUGAUUUUAGCUCUAAAUUAAGCACACAUCGCCCG
rnacentral:rRNA from 1 species